CCUUUGGAGAGUUAUAUCAAAUGAAAGUAGCUACGGCAAAAUCGGAUUCUAUGAAGAAGGAA
rnacentral:sRNA from 12 species